rnacentral:rRNA from 1 species
GAUGAACGCUGGCGGCGUGCCUAAUACAUGCAAGUCGAGCGAACGGACGAGAAGCUUGCUUCUCUGAUGUAGCGGCGGACGGGUGAGUAACACGUGGAUAACCUACCUAUAAGACUGGGAUAACUUCGGGAAACCGUAGCUAAUACCGGAUAAUAUUUUGAACCGCAUGGUUCAAAAGUGAAAGACGGUCUUGCUGUCACUUAUAGAUGGAUCCGCGCUGCAUUAGCUAGUUGGUAAGGUAACGGCUUACCAAGGCAACGAUGCAUAGCCGACCUGAGAGGUGAUCGGCCACACUGGAACUGAGACACGGUCCAGACUCCUACGGGAGGCAGCAGUAGGGAAUCUUCCGCAAUGGGCGAAAGCCUGACGGAGCAACGCCGCGUGAGUGAUGAAGGUCUUCGGAUCGUAAAACUCUGUUAUUAGGGAAGAACAUAUGUGUAAGUAACUGUGCACAUCUUGACGGUACCUAAUCAGAAAGCCACGGCUAACUACGUG